AUUUUGGAGAGUUUGAUCCUGGCUCAGAAUGAACGCUGGCGGCGUGCUUAACACAUGCAAGUCGUA
rnacentral:rRNA from 1 species